rnacentral:rRNA from 1 species
AACACCCGGUAACAUUCCGAACCCGGAAGUUAAGCCCUUCAGCGCCGAUGGUACUGCACGGGAGACUGUGUGGGAGAGUAGGACGCCGCCGGAC